rnacentral:tRNA from 1 species
GCUGCAUCUGGUCCGGGUUGAAGUGGCCGCCGGCGCUGGUGGCGUCGGGUGCGCUGCAGUCGCCGGUUUCAUGCACGUGGAAACCGUGCACGCUGCC